AUGGUGGGCAGCAAGUCAUCAAUUACCACCUCAGUCAAUUCUCCAAAAUGCCAGAAACGGAAGCGAAAUAUUCCAGCAUAUUUUUCUGGCUUUCGAGGAUCCCAUUCCUGUUCCUUAUUGUUGGGGAUUACCUGGAAAGAUGAAAUUAAGAAGCACGAUCAUUCCUCCCUUGGUCAGACAUUGGCACUUUAUUUGGAGCAAUAUGUGAAGUUACGCAAUAAUUUCUUGGAAACAGAUGAAACGUAGCAUUGCUUCCUGGCAUAGAAAGCAUCUCAGAUUAAAUCUACAAAAUUUGGGUGAAGAAGACAAAGUACAAAGAACUGAGCCACGACUGAGGGAUGAGAUGCAUCUAAAG